rnacentral:rRNA from 1 species
UACGUAGGGUGCAAGCGUUAUCCGGAAUUAUUGGGCGUAAAGAGCUCGUAGGCGGUCUGUCGCGUCUGCUGUGAAAACUCAGGGCUUAACCCUGAGCUUGCAGUGGGUACGGGCAGACUAGAGUGGCGGUAGGGGAGACUGGAAUUCCUGGUGUAGCGGUGAAAUGCGCAGAUAUCAGGAGGAACACCGGUGGCGAAGGCGGGUCUCUGGGCCGUAACUGACGC